AGUUCUUUGCUCUAUAAAUAGGUGGUGAGAUGGUGACUUUGGCACACUAGGUACAGUAGGCAGUUGCCCCAUCUGUAAGUAAGUGGGUCAGCAAGCACUCUGUGUGUGUGUGUGCACUUGUGUGAAUACUUCUUGAGGAAAUGAAAGAAAAGUUGAUGGGGAACAGAGGCAUGAGGAUGAGAGUAAUGUUCCCAAGAAAAAUGUGUAAAGACUCAUGAAGAAAUGAAGGGACAUAUCCAGAAGAUUUUUUAAAAAUUACUGUGGAAGUCAAAUCAGUAUCUGGACGUCUGAUGGUGACUUCCAGCUGAAGGAACUGUAGAGGAAUGAUAUGGUUUUAGGGAACAAUGAAUUCCCAAUCUACACUGAGUUUUCGAAGAAUCAGACCCAGGUUUCCUAGGCAGCUGGACAAAUGAGAAACUUCUGUGGAUUUCUGAGAAUGGGGUACAUCUCAAAUUGCUCCUCUGCUCGGCAGAAUAAUUGAAACCUGUUCUUAAUGAGGCAGAAAAAAUGGAAAUGUCCUCUUUGUUCUAGUCAAAUGAAGGUGGCAGCGCUUACCAAAUACAGCUGUGGGUCAAAGAGAAAGACACUCCUUCAGUGCUGAGCAUUGUUAAAUAUGAAAUAUCUGUGUGCUCUGAAGAAAUACAAAUGUUGGAAUAUC